AGUGCUCUAUCAUACAUUCUUCUUACAAUGACCAGUUGGUUCAUGGCACUUUCUUGGCUUUUUGCUCCCUAUUUGUUCAACCCAUGCCCAUCUGGGUUUGAGUGGCAGAACUGAAAGAUUGGUGGGCAUUUUGGUGGAGUUUGCUUAGUCUACGUUACGUGAAAUUAAAAGAACUUUUUGUUUCUGGGGAGCGCAAAUGUUUCCAAAGAUUGAUUGGAAUACUAUUGCAGUUGAGAUUAUUGAUUUGCUGGGUAUUUGAAAACAGAGAGAUAAAGUCAUUUAUAUGAGAUAUUGAAAGCUUGGAUGAAGUGAAGAAGAGGUUCAAGGAAGAGUAGCUGUUCAGCCUUUAGUGAUAUUGUUCUCAAUGUUGUUCUUGUGUUUUAAUGUAUGAAUGAUUGAGAAAUACUAUGUUUAUGGUACAUUUGAUGCUUUAAUGUAUGGAUUGGAGUACUUGAAUUGAUGAAUUGCAUUCAGAUUUCUUUCUAA